UCGGAUGCUUAACUGACUGAGCCACCCAGGCGCCCCCGUCCUUUUCUUAUUUGAUUUUUGGGGGCCAAACUUGGCAUUGUUGACCAUUGCAGAUGGCCGAGGCUGCGUCAGGCAGACACCCCAAAACCUUGGGAGAUGGGAGCAUUGUCUUUCACCCAGAUGUUCCUCAGGGAGAACAUGUGAGCAGCACUCCUGGGCGCAGUAUGUGGGUGCCCGUUCCAGAGGCCGGAACAGUGGUGAAGGAACAAGUAAACACAAGCUACUGGGUCAGCCAGACCCAGAAAGGAUGCAGGAGCCUCGGGGGAGGCGGCUGUGUGGGUGGGAUGUUACCAGAAGGAUGGCGGAGCCAAGGCAGAAUGACUUAUCAAGACGAUGCAGCCAAGAGGUGGCUGCCGCGUCCAGUCCAUGGCGCUGGACUCCAGGCCAGGGGAGGGGGGCGGCCAAGAAGCCCCAGGCAGAGGCUCGACUUCCUGGACAAGGGACGGGCUGGACCGUGGCCCAGCAGGAAGCAGCUUGGACUCUGAAAAUCUGAGUGAGCUCAGAGAAGACUUCCCUGGGGCCAGCAUGAACCAAAGGCCUUGGACUAGGUCCACAUGAUCCAGGGAAAGAAGGUUGGUUGGAUGUAAGCCACCCCCUCGAGGGAGCCUACCCACGACUAAGACUAACACCAGUACCCAGAACACAGAGCCAGGACACAGGCCAGGUGGAUCCCAGCUGAUGUUCGGUACCCUGGACUUUUCAGUUACAGAAAUUAAUCUUGAUUUCUG